rnacentral:rRNA from 1 species
CCUACGGGUGGCUGCAGUGAGGAAUAUUGGUCAAUGGCCGUAAGGCUGAACCAGCCAAGUCGCGUGAAGGAAGAAGGAUCUCUGGUUUGUAAACUUCUUUUAUAGGGGAAUAAAGGUAUCCACGUGUGGAUAUUUGCAUGUACCCUAUGAAUCAGCAUAGGCUAACUCCGUGCCAGCAGCCGCGGUAAUACGGAGGAUGCGAGCGUUAUCCGGAUUUAUUGGGUUUAAAGGGUCCGUAGGUUGUUUUUUAAGUCAGCGGUGAAAGUUUGUGGCUCAACCAUAAAAUUGCCGUUGAAACUGGAAGACUUGAGUGUGGUAGAGGUAGGCGGAAUGCGUGGUGUAGCGGUGAAAUGCGUAGAGAUCACGCAGAACUCCGAUUGCGAAGGCAGCUUACUAGGCCAUAACUGACGCUGAAGCACGAAAGCGUGGGGAUCAAACAGGAUUAGAUACCCGUGUAGUC